rnacentral:lncRNA from 1 species
GUAAAGUCAACUACAGUCCUUAUCUAUUAAACAGUAAACUUCAUUUCCAUCAAAGAUCCAAAGAUCAAGAAAUGGAGAACGAGCUUCACAAUUUGAUCAAGGUAUGGAUUUUAGCUAUAAUUUCCCUUUGUUAUUGUUUCUACAUAUCAUCAAAGCUCCCCAAAGGCAUUUUCAAGCUUUUUUCUUUAACCCCAAUCUUCAUCUUCUUCCUUUACCUCCCUCUCACCAUCUCCUCCGCCUCUCUCGUCGGCAUCACCGCCUUCUUCCUCUCUUGGUUAGCUAAUUUUAAGCUCCUCCUCUUUUGUUUCGACCAACCACCGCUCUCACCACCGCCGUCCAACCUUUUUCAUUUCAUUUCCUUAGCUUCUCUUCCCAUUAAACCAAAACAAAAAACCCCAUCUCAAAACAAAUCUAAACAACCCCAAAGAUCAAUCGUGUUUGCUAUAAAAGUUUUAAUAUUAGCUUUGCUUUAUCAUUGUUAUAGCUACAAACAAAAUAUCCAUAAAAAUGUAGUUCUAGCAAUGUACUGUGUCCACAUCUACAUUGAGCUUGAGCUCAUCCUAGCCUUGGCCACAACCCUUGCUCGAGCCAUGUUUGGGUUCGAGAUCGAACCACAGUUCAAUGAACCCUACUUGGCUACCUCUUUACAAGAUUUUUGGGGUCGUAGAUGGAACCUUAUGGUUACUAGUAUUCUACGACCAACCGUAUAUUACCCCAUACGCCAUAUUUCUACUCGUUUGCUCGGAUCAAGGUGGGCUUCGUUGCCGGCGAUAGUCACCGUGUUCGUCGUCUCCGGCUUGAUGCAUGAAUUGAUUUUUUAUUACAUGACUCGUGUGGCUCCUACUUGGGAGGUGGCAUGGUUUUUCAUCUUACAUGGGGUUGCGGUGGUGGCGGAAGUGGUGGCGAAAAAGGUGGUGCCUGAUAACAUGAGGUUGCACUCGGUGGUUUCCGGGGCGUUAGCUUUGGGAUUUGUGGCGGUGACUGCCGUUUGGUUGUUUCUCCCGCAGUUAGUGAGGAAUGGUGUAGAUGAGAAGAGCAUUGGAGAGUACUCCAAGUUGAUGGAUCUUAUAAAGGGUUUGCUUCCAUUUUGAAUAUCAUUGUAAUUUUAGAAAAAAAUCAUAAAUAAAAAUCAAGCCAUUUAAAUUCCUUCAUUUGGAAUCAUGGUGACGAUUAUAUUGAAGGCAGGACGAGCAUCCUUGAAGUUACAAAGACAAUUCAAGUCGGCAUGUUUUAUCAAAACACAGCAUUGUUUGGUCGGUGGUGGAGGGUAUCUCCCAGUAACCACCUGCCCGCAAAGGUUCAACGUACUCAAUAGAAUGUUACAUAUGGUUGCCCCUUUAGCUCCUUCCACCAUUGCAAUGACCACAAAGAUUGCUACCAAGCAAUACACCAUAAGUUUCUCACUAACCUUACCCAUUUUUCUUGCCUCAAAAAACCUAUAUAUCAAACACAAUGCUAAGUAACACACCUGCACUUAAUUUAUAGCAAGGGUUUUGAGGUAAACUAUUUAGUAUUCACCCAAUUAUUAGUAAAAAAUUUUUGUCACUCAAUAAUGAAAAGUUAUAAAAUGGUCAUCCAAUUAUUAGUAAAUUUCUUUUUUGGUCACCUAACUAUCUUAGAUUUUUGGGUAUUUCUAUUUUUUGGUAGCCAACUGGGGAUCCAAAAUGACAAAAUUGAAUAGUUUAGUAAUUAUUUUGUAACUUUCCAUAGUUGCGUGAUUAAAAAAGAAAUUUACUAAUAGCUAGAUGAUCAUUUUAUAACUUUUCAUAACUAUGUGAUUAAAAAAUAAAAUUAUUAAUAAUUGAGUGACUACUAGCAUAAUUUACACACACAUAUAUAUAUAUAUAUAACAAGACGUGAAUACAGUUUGUAGGAUAAUCACGAGAGAACUUGAGUAGAAACUACAUAACCCUAUUGAACAACAAAGUUCUAUGAAGAAUAAUUCCAUGGUUAUUUUUUUUUCAUUAAAAAAAGGUAAAUUCUACUAUUAAUCUCAGUAUUUUGUCAAAAUUAUGGAUUUAGGUUUUAUACUUUAUUUUGAUCAAUUUGAGUCUUAUAUUUUUCGAAUUUUGACAUUUAAUCAUAACUCACAUAAUAGCAAUUAAAUUCGUUCAGUUAAAUUCAAUUAAUAGUCCUAUUACUAUGUUUAAAGUUACAGAUUUAAUCCAUAUUUUUCAAGUGGAUCAUUUUAAGUCCCUAUAUUUUUCGAAUUUUAAAAUUUCAAUCUUGAAGCAAAUGGCAAUCGUUAAUCCAUUGCAUGGAUUUUUAGUUAAUAAUAUGUGAAAAUAAUCAACUGACAUGGUAUUACAUAUAUGAUAAUAUGUUUAUCACAUCAAAAUUUUGAAAUAGCAAAACUUACUGAAUCUAAUAAUUAUCGUUUGGUUAGUAUUGAAACUUUAAAAUUUGAAAAGUACAAUCACUAAAAAUAUUAAAUUAAAGUAUAGAGAUUAAAUAUAUAAAUUUUACAAAAAAAUAAGGACUAACAGCAAAAAUUAACCUUAAAAAUGUCGGUUUGAUGUUCCAUUUCCAGGAUGUAGACACUAUGGUUUCGAAUAAGAAAACAGGCCAUGCAAUAUUUAGUGACUUCCCGAUAAUCUAGACUUCCCGAUAAUAUUUAGGCCAUGCACUAUGGUUUCGAAUAAAAAUGAUAAUUAAAACACAACACGACAAUAUAUAACAUGUAAGUUGUCAAAGUUUGUCUGUUUGUCCUUCUCGUUUCUAUCAAACACUUUUGUUGGAUUUGACCAGAUUGAAUAAAAACAAAUUUUUGAGAAAGCAUAUCUUAUAUUUGUCGAAACUAUUUUCAAAUCAAGUUUUAAAAAAUGGGAAUCAAUUUUAAAAAAACGAAAACGGAAGUCGUCACCAAUCUUUUUAGAUGUGAUUGGAUCACCUUUAAAACAUUUUUGUUUUAAAAUCAUUAGUUUUGGUCUACGUAAUAAAAAGAACGGGUUCGGGAGUCGGUUACGUACGAGGAAGGAUUAGCAUCCUCAUAACGCCCAAAAAUUGGUACCUAAUUGAUUAUCAAGUGUCUUUAAAUGUCGGAAAUUUUAAAAACUUUAAGAUAUAAUCCUCUUUAAAAUAUUUUGAUAUUUGAAAAUUUGGGUUCACUUGUAUCAAAGUGUUGACACUAAAUUAGCCUUUUUAGAAAUCCCUAUCUCGAAACGACAAAAUGCUACAUCCAAUAAGUUAGAACAUAUCACUAAUUUGCAGUUCCAAGACAGUCGCUUACAUUUUGAAAACCUUUAAAUUUUAGAAGGGUACUUGACUAUUCGAACUUAACGAGAAAAGUUGCAACCCAAUAAGUUAGGGCACUACUUUUUCGAAAUUUCCAAACACCAAGCGUUGCCUUUAUAUUUUUUUGAAAAUUUUGGAGCCUUGUCUUUUUUAAAGAUGAUGCAUGAGGGAUUAUAUUGCAUUAUAAAUCAUAAAUAAUACGUGCAUUUAAACAAAAUGAUGGCAAUGAUAUAAAAAUCAUGCAUUAGAUUCGUACAUAUACAUAUAAAGCAAAUAUUAACGAUAUGCAUACAAAGAUAUAUAUAGCAUGUAUCGAGAAUGAAUAAGCAAAAUAUACAAACAUACAAAAUAAUAAUUAAAUGAUGCAUGAUAUAAAAAGCAAUAAUCAAAUAACAUAUGAUAUACAAAUAGAAGAAAUAUAAUGUCAGUAUACAUGUCUACAACAUAUAACAUAUAAUAAUAAUAAUAAAAAUAACAUUUAACACAUACAUAUUACAUGCAAUAUAAAAAUCUACAAAAGAACUAGUAAAAAAUAAAAUGAUUGAUUGCUAACAAAAUAUAUAUAUAAUUAAAAAUAAGAUAUUUCAUAACAAUUUUAAAAUAGCAUUUAAUAUAUAAUAACAAGAAUAUUUACAAAAGAAUAAUAAUUAUAUGGUAAUAUAUUGGUUUGAAAGUAUGUAAGAGAACUCAUAAUAUAAAUUUAAAAUGAAAUGAUAUAUAUAAUAAAUAAAUAAUUAAUAAUGAAAUGUGUGUAUAAUAUGAGUUAAAAAUAUGAUUUAAUAAUAAUAAUUUACAAAUUUUAAAUAAUAUAUAUAAUAUAAACAUAAAUAAUAUAAUUGGUAAUAUGUAAUAUACAUAACAUAUAAUAAUAAUAAUAAUAAUAAGUAGUAUAAAAGUAAAACAUAAUAAAUAUUAUAUAAUAAAAUAUAUGGGAAAUAAUAUAAUAAAUAUAGCAUAAAAUAAUGAAAAUUUAUAUGUAAAAAUAAUAUGUAUAAAUAAAUAUAUAAUAUAUGUAAAAAUAUAAUAAUAUAUAUAUAAAUAAUAAUUAUGAGAGAAUUAAUAUAUAAUAAACAAUUAUAAUACAUAUAAAAAUAACACUUAUAAAAUAAUUUUAUGGAAGUAAAAUUAAAAUAAAACAAAUAAUAUAUAUAUAUAUAUAGAAUAAUAAAAUAAAUAUAGGACUAAAUUUAGAGUUUAGCAAAAUUACUGGGCGAAUUUUGAAAGGAAUAAAACUGAAAUAAGGUCCUAUUUAAAAUGCAGGCAAAAUUAGAGGGACUCACUGGGCAAAUUGCCCUAUUCCCAAAACGACGACGUUUUCCAAAAUAUAAUUUAACAGCUAUCGAGACUAAAUUAAAACUAAAAUAAAAUAAUGGGCCAAAUUAUAAAUAAAAUAAAGUUUAAUUGUAAAUACAAGAAGGAAUAGAAGGACUGAUUGGGCAAUUAACCCAAUUCUAAAAAAUGCGCGGAUCCUCCCCGGGUAACCGGGUCAACGCGCGGAUCCUGGGGUCUAAAACGCUGUCGUAUUAUCAAGGCUAUAUAAGCCAACUUCUCAACUUUAAAAUCAUUUGAAACCCGAUUUUAAAAAAAAAACUUAAGUUUUCUCUCUGAAAGAGAGAGAGAGGAAGGGAACUCCGGCCCUGGCCUCCGUCGGCCACACUCCGGUCACGCGCCCACGCACCACCCUAAGGACCACCAUACACGGUGGCUAGGGUUUGAAAAACCCUUCCUUUCGCUCGUCGUUCGUCAGGUAACUUCCUUUCUUUUAUUUUUGUAAUCUAUAUUUUUGCUAAAACAGUUUAUAUACAUGUAUAUGUUACAAAAAUAAAAAACAAUUUCUGAAACUGUUUGUAUCUCUCUGAAUAAGUAUCUGUAAGUAUGUAUUUCUAUGCUCUUCAAGAAUCUGUUUGUUUACAAUGGUUUGAUUCGGGCUUUUAUAGCCACUGUUUAUUACAAAAAUUUAGGAAAUAAAUCUUUUUAUAUCUUUCCAUAUUUGCUUUGCUUGUUGCUGUGGUUCUUUCCCUCUUUUGCAAGUGCUUGCGGAAAAUCCGGUGAUGGAAAGAUCGACGGCGUUGAUAGAGGCCUGAAGUCUGGCGGUGGUGUCAGUGAGGCGCUGAUUACGGAGGCAGAGCCUUGAGUGAUGGCCUCGAUUGGGGAGCUGGACAGACGCUCCCCGAACUUUCCAGAAGCAGUUGCGGCGCGAGGGAAAAGAGCUAGGGUUAGAAACCUUAGCUGGAAAUUUUUGGUUCUGGGCCUAGUUCAUUUUGGGCCGUUGUAUUAGGUCAAAGGUAGGCUUAGAAAUGGGAUUGUAAUGUAGUGGGUUGAGUGUGCCGGGUAAUGUUAUAAUUGGGCCUCGGGUGUAAUGGGUUUAUGGGGCAUAAUUUGGGCUGUAAAAGGACUGUUUUGGGUUUUGGGUAGCAACAGUGGGUCAAUGUAAAUGGACUGUUUAAAAACAAUUAUUUAUUUAUUUAUUUUCUUAAUUUUAAACCCCAGGAAAAUUUUGGUUGCUACAAUAUUUAUGUUUAAAUAUACGUGUAACAUGAAUAAUAAUUAUAGAUGUCUUUUAAAAAAAAGUGAGAGUACCAAUGGAAUCCAAUAGUAAUUGUAACAUCUUUAGUCUGAUUCGAUUGUCAAGUUCGAGUUAUAAGAUGUCAUAUUUAUUGUCAAAGUAGCUACAGCCAAUUAUACAGUAAACAUUAAUCAAACAUGUAAUUAAGUGCUAAGCACAUUUACAUUAUGUUAAUUAGUCAAAUCCGAGCCUUAAUCAAGCUUAUGAAGGCUCUUUUAUUGACUCGAGCAUGAAAUAAGACCAAAUUGUAAAAUUUUAAAAAUUUCAAACCAUUGUCGUGACUUCAAUGUUUCCUCGUCGCGACGUGGGCAACUUAGUAUGUCAUAUCGCAACGACAAACCCUUGCUCAUUGCGACGAGACUCUUUGAGUUGCCAAUGUUGCGAUGUAGAGAUCCAUAGUCGUGACGUGGAACCUGUUUUCAAGAAAAAUAGAUCCUUUAGUACUUAUUUCAAUGCUUCCAAACAACCUAUUCAAUUUACUCAACAAAUCACAAUCUUUACUUGAAUCAAACCAUACCAAAAACAUUCCAGAACAAGCCCUUUAAACAUUUCUAGUCAAUCAAUUUAAUAUAAGUUCAAAUUAACACAAAAUAUACCAGUUCAACUCAUUCAAUUAUAAAUCAUCUAUCCAACCAACUAGCCAUUCAAAUACCAAUUUAUUAUCUAUGCUAAUCCAUGUUCAAACAUGCGAUUUUAAUUUUCAAACCUAAUUCAAACACAUUUACCAAAACAUGCCAUUUCAACUAGUCAAAAUCAUUCAUUAGGAAGGUUUCGAGCUAUGUCCAACAUUCAAAGUUAACAUAUACAAAAAACCUAUAUACAUGUCACAAUUUCAAGCUUAAAAUGAUCAAAAAGCUACCGAUUCAAAAACAAGAUAGUGUGAGAUUCAAAGCGAUCCGCAUGAUAUGUUCUGCAAGGUAAUGAUCUACAAGGAAAACAAAAAGUAACAUACUGCUUAGUAAAUUCAUAUGAAAUUUAACUUACCUUGAUAUUACAAUAAACUGAACAUUUAAAUGCUUUGUCAUUCAAUAUGGCAUCAUUUGACAUAUCUUGAAAUAGCUAACAUAUAAUAUCAUAUACAACAAUAGGUUAGUCCAUUUUCAUAACAAGAAUUUUAAACAAAAGUAAUUUACCACAACUCAAUUUGAACAUGUACAAAAAAAAUUCAUAUUCAAUUUGAAAACAUGUACAAUUCAAUCCACAUUUGUAUCAUUACAAUGAUUUCAUUUCAGUUAGGUUACCAUUUUAGAUACACGUAACUAUAUUGCUCACACAAGGUGACAGUGAUUAGGGUUUCUAAAAACAAACUGAUAUUUAUGAAAUUGCUCAAACAAGUUGAUAUCAUAUUGUGGUUACUAGUCCAGGCUAAACCAACGACACAUAUAAAUUGAGAAUUCAAAAAUAAAAUUUGGAUUUUAUAUAACCAUGUAAAUCCCUGACUGAUUCCAUAUUUGACCCUAAUGGCAUGCCAUACGUAUUAUAAUCUUUUACUAAGUUCACAUGAGCAUCAUUAUCUUAAUCGUAUCAUUUCAAGUCUUAUAUCAGAAUACAUAUUUCAUACAAAUCCUGUAAACAUGUAACAUUCAUAUCGGUAAUUUGUACCCUUUCGUAUAGCCAACAUUUUCAUGUUUUACAAUUCAGUCCAUAAAUAGCCAAAUAAGCCAAUUUCCACAAUAUCACUUAAAUAUAAACAUACAAUUAAAAGAAAUACAAUUCAAAAGAUAAUUUAGUAAGUUCCAUAUGAACUUACCAGGAAAAAGAGCAAUAAAUGAGACUUUAAGGACUAAUCGACAAUUUUUUAUUUUCCCCAAUUAUCUUCGGUUUGGUUCAAUUCUCGAUUUAUACAAUUAUUCAAUUCAAUUUAUCAAUACUAAAAAUUUUAUAACAUUUUAUUAUAUGCAAGUACAGUUCAAUUUUAUUUUCUGAAUGUCCCUAAAUUUUUGCAUUUUAUUCAAUUUAGACCCUAAAAUCGUAAUUGCCAUAACUUUCAAUUUUGAGCUUAGAUUUCAAAACCGAUCUCACUCACAUCCUUUUAGAACCCUCUACUAUCUAUUGUUAAAACAAUUUCACAUCAUUUUACACUUUAAUCCUUUUUGACAAAACUAACAAUUUAAACUUUACAAUCUUAUCCUUUUCCACAUCUAAGCUUGAAAUCUAUCAAUUUAACACCAAUUUCUUUAAAAAAUUAUCAAUGAAAACUUUUAAAAAUUUUAAUAGUUUUACAAAUUGGUACAUGAGCUUGCUAAAUCAAGUUCUCAUGGCUUAAAAAAUAUAAAAAUUACAAGAAAAUGACUUAAUUGCACAUAACAAUUUUGUAGCCGAAUGUGAAAUGUUUCCUUAGGUUUUCUCUCCUCCAAGACUCGACCAAGAGAGGAAGAUGAAUAAAAGAUGAUGAUUUUUCCUUUUAAUUUGUUUAGAUUAAGGAUGAGUUAAUUAAGUUUAAUUAAUUAACUAUUAGUCAAAGAUAGUGGGAAUGUCAUCAUAUACCACUAUUUCAUAUUUUAAAUUGGUUAAAUUGCCUUUUUAAACCUUUUAUUAAUUAUAAUUUAAGUCCCUAAAUUUUUGGCCAACUUAAAACCUAUAGCGAUAAACUUUUACAAUUUAGUCAUUGAACCUUAAUUAGCCAUCAUGUAAUUAAUUCAUGAAUAUUUAUUAGAAAUAUUUAUGAAUUAUAGUUGAGUGGUUGAUUAAUGUUUGAUUAAGUUAAGUAGCUUGAAUUUAGAAUAAGGACUAAAUUGCUUAAGGUAUAAAAGUUUAAUUAUAGAUUAAAAAUUAGUAAAGGGACUAAUCUAGCAAUUAGACCCUAAGUGACAUGUGUGUGUUAAUAUUGUAUAACAUGUGUAAUAGUUGGUAAAAAUAUUAAAUGUGUUAAAGUAGUUUUUCUUAUAGAUUAAGUUAUUUUAUUAGAAUAAUAUUAUAUUAUUAAUAUUAUUAUAUUGAAUAUAGAUUUAUGAAUAAAGGAAAUGAAAUAGAAAAAAAAAGAUAGAAAGAGUUACAGAGAGUAAAUUGAGAAAGAAAGAAAGAAAAAGAAAAGGGAAAAUUUGAGGAUUAAGCCCUAAAGCUUGAUUGGUAAAUUGUUUUAGCUCAUUUUCUUGUGAUUUUUAUGUUUAUGGAUGCCUAAUUCAAAGUUCUACAUGUAUGAGGUUAAAAUGAAGAAAAAAAUAGAGAAUUUUUAGAUAUUGAUUUAGUUGAAUAAAUUGAGGUUUUAUGGGUUAAAUUGAUAGAAAUUGAAGUUAAAAGUGAUUUGUUAAAGGAAUUUUUAAGUUAGGUUUAACUAGGGACUAAGUUGUAUAGAGCUCAAAAUUUAUGUUUUAUGAUGAUUUUUUUUAUGAGCUUGAAAUUGUUAAUGAGUUGAUUAAAAGAAAAUAUGAAGAUUGUGUUAAAGAAAAAAAGAUUGUAAUGGAAAAAGCACGAAAUUGGAAUUUUUGUAAAAGUUUGAUAGAAAGUGAAAAUGUGAUUUUUGAUUAGUAUUUUGAUGAAUUUCAAUUGUAUGAUUGUCCGUAGCUAACGUAGCACCGGAUACGUCAUCCAAGAAGGGAAAAGAGAAAGUGAACGAAGAUAUCGAUUAAAUUCAAAAAAUAGUGGUUUGUAUUUCUAUAAACCGAGCUUAAUCGUUAUUGCUAUAUUUGAUAUUUAUAUUGUAUGAAAAUGUGAAUGAGGUAAGUAUUCUUACCAUAUCGAAAUGAAUGUGAUUUUGAAUACCCUGUUAACAGUGUCGGGCUAGUCAGAUAUAGUUGACAUGUCAUAGGAAUUGGAAGUAUUGGGAUAUUCCGACCUUGAGUCGAUGAGACACUAUGUGUCGACUACUGUUAAAGUUCCGGAUUUGUUCCGAUGAAGUACUUUGUGUACUAUAAUGUUAAAGUUCUGGAUUUGUUCCGAUGAAGCACUAUGUGCUUAUCACGGAGUGUAGGUUGGAUCCGUGUAUCCGUCAGUGUCCGAGUUAUGUUAAUAACGGUAAAUAAAGUAAAGAUUAUUAAAGUACUGAUUGAUUGACUGUUAUUGAAAUGAUGAUUGAUAUUGAAUAAUAGCAAUAAUGUGUUUGAAUUACCAUGUUUUAAAGUUGAUUAAGCUAUUGUUUAUAGAAAUACCACCGAGAGUAUUCUCAGCGUACGGUUUAUUUCCGUGCGCAGGCUAGGUACGAAAGUUUAAGGACUCAGCAUACAAGCCAGUCCCCGAACUCAAAUUGGUGAAGUUUCUAUCUUUUUGGAAAAUGGCAUUGUACCUAGGAUGUCUUUUGGUCAUUUUGAAAGUACCUAAGUUGUUAAGUGAUAUUUUGAUAUGUUUUGUAAAUGUUACCAAAACCUUAAGUAUGGUAUGUUUUUGAUAUGUUAGUGAAGAGAAAUAAGAGGAAGUGAUGGUAAAUAUUGUAGAGAGAAGAAAUGAAGAUGUUAUAAACUUAGUUAUCAACAUUUUAUACUAAAACAGAUUUGGACAGUAGCAGUAGUCCAACUUUGAAAAUACACCAAAAAUAGUAGAAAGUGAAUUAGAUGAUGAAUAAAAUAUUUAAUUGAAUAUUAAUGAAUCUAUUUUUAUGUGGAAGAAACAUAAUAGGUAAAAGAGUUGUAUUUUAUGAGAUAUUUACGUUUUGGUGAAACAGGGUUAGAGCAAUUUCUGGAUUCCCUGUUCUGACUUUAGAAAUUCACCAUAAAUUGUGUAUAAAUAAUUAGGACUCACAAUUUAUAUGUAUGGAUUCCUUAUUGAGUCUAUUUUUAAUUGAAACAAACAGAAUAGUCAUUGGAUUUCUUUACAGGAAGAAAUUUGAUUCGAAGUGAACAGGGGUCAGAGUAGCCGAACCCUGAAAUAGGGGAGACUUUUACUAAUAAACUGUACUAAUUGGCCAGAGCAAAAAUUCUAGAAAAAAAUUAAUAAGUAGAUAUAUGAGUCUAGUUUCAGGAAAAAUUUACGGAAUUGGAUUUCAAGUUUUGUAACUCGAGAUAUGAUUUUUUUAGCGACUGUGACACAGAUGGAUAGUUUACUACGAGAAUUGUUUGAAUUGUUUAAAUGCUAAAAUAAGUUUAGUAAUGUCUCAUGCUCGACUGCAGCGACGGUCUUGAGUAAGGGAGCGUUACACAUCAAUUCAAAAAAAUUACUGAACCAAACUUUAAUAUAUUACUAUAAUAGCCUCGAAAAUAUUAAAUAUUAAUAUUUACAGACACUGUUUUACGAAAAUGAGGUUUCAAAUCGCUUUUCCAAUACCAUUAAAAAUAAGGCUGUUAUAGUCAUCAUAAUUGUUGAGGGGAGAAUAUGUUCCUUUGUAAAAGGUUUUCAAAGUGUCGUCCUCCAACAGUCAACCCAAACCCCCAACAAUCAAUAUAAUCCCUGUGUCGGGGUUUCAAAAAAAAAAUGAAGAGUACCAUGUUUGCAAGCAUGUAGUCUUUAAGCCUUGGUUGGUGGUUUGAAUCGCAACACACCCAAGUACCUCCACUAUUAUUCACAUGCCCCAUACUGACAUUUUUCCCAAGUCUUGCAAGUACCUAUCUCUCGAGGCGGCCCUUCCAUGAACCGUACAUGGCUCUUCAUGAAAGCUAAGGAUAAAACCUCGACAAGGGGACAAUACCUUUGGUUGUUGGGGGAUUAGGUCGGCUGCACAACAUACGACACUUCGAAGACUUCUCUCGAAGGAGUCGGCCCCUCCUCAACAAUAAUAAUGCUUUUGAGUUAAAACAUCAUAUGAAAAAUUGUAAAGUUGUGAAGUGUAAAUAAGAUAUGUCUCGAUGAAUUUUUGUUCUUCCUCUUUCUUUUUUUUUUUGCUACAUUCCAACUACACUGUCAAAAGAGAAACAGAGUAGCAGCCAAAACCAGAAACUUACAGCAGAUGCAGAAUAAAAACACAGGCCAAAAACAACCAAAAACCUGCUAAUUCUUAAAAACUAAAACAUCGCCACCAAGCUUUAAACAUUUCCAUCCGAUUAACCCCAGCCAUCGCCAAUGAAAACGCCAUACCAUUACCAUUUCUAUCUGCCAAUGAGAAGACAGUAUUCCCCACCUUCAUCAUGGAUCUCUCAAUAUCUGCAAAAACUGAAUGAAGCGACCAAGGCCUCGACACCUUGUUAACACACCACGAAAAAGCCACCAAAGAACCAACUUCAAUAAAAAGAUACUCUUUUGGUUUCCAAUUCAUUGCUAUAAAAACCUCUAAAGCAAUCUUCACAACACCAAUCUCUGCCUCCUCAGCAUUAUUUGCAAAAAUAGCACCAGAGAAAAUAGCUCUAACCACCCCCUCCAUAUCUCUCAAGACUCCUCCACACCCUGCUUUAUUUUCAAGCUCAAUCUUACAUAUGUUAAAUUUUAACCAACUAGCAGGAGGUGACCUCCAACAGAACACGGCAGGAUUGGAUCUAACAGAUUCUACCCGACACUUGAGUGGAGAAAUCCACCAAAGAUCCUCCUGUAAUAAAAUUUCAUCAUGGAUAGAUCUAAUCCACAACAACGCUUUCAUUUUUGAUAGAAACACCAAGUUUUCCAUGUAAACUCUCUUUUUAUUGAAAAUCAUACCAUUUCUUGCUAGCCAAAUUGUCCAACAAGCUGCUGCUAUAGCAAUCAACCAUAAACAUUUCCUAAAAGCAUUCAUACGCACAUUGUUACAUAAGACAAAGAAAUCCAAAAAGCCUUUCACCGGCUUCCAUACCUCCUCCCACCACAUGAAGAUUCUCCCCCAAAAUCCAUCAAUAAAUUUACACUGAAAAAAUAAAUGGGAAGCGCACUCCGGAACACCUUCACACCAUGGACAAUUUAAUGAAAAAUUUUGAAAGCACACCCCUCUUUUAACCAGAAUCUCCUUUGUUGGAAGUCUAUCAAUUGCUAGCAUCCAUAGAAAACUGCGCACUCUAGGAGGCACCUUGAUAUUCCAUAAUCUACCAAAAUCAAAAUUAAUGAUCUCCUCAUCCUCCAGCAUCAAUAAUUCUGUGCAUUUUUUAACCGAAAAGACCCCUUCUUUAUCUUUUACCCAACACAACCUAUCCUCAAUGUUCAAAUUCAAAUUCGUGCCAAUCACCCUUUCAGCCAACUCUUUGCCCAAACCCACCUCCCUCUCCAGCAACGGUAUUGUAAAAUAUUCAUUCCAAUUAGUACUUCCACUCCCUAACAGACUUACCACUUCAACUACAGUACAAUCCUUACUCUUAGCAAUACGGAAGAGUCUUGGAUAGAUCAAUUUUAGAGGCCGAUCCCCGUGUAACACCCCCUAACCCCAAACUGUCGCCGGAACAAGGUUAUGAGGCAUUACCGGACAUAUCAGACAACUUACGAAUAAUUUACAAUUAAUAUAACUUUCAUAGUAUAAUAUAAUAAUUAAGUCUCUAUAUUGGACUCUCGAAGUUCAAACACGUAUUAAAAGUAAAACGUGACUUUUCGAGUGUUCCGGAAAUUUUUUUUUAUAAAAAUUUCGGCAGCAUUUCUGCUUAUUUUUACCUAAAACCCCCUGCAAAUUCAAACCAAAACAACCAACACCAGUGUUUCACAUUCAUAUAACUAAUAUUUAUAUCAUUAACAUAAUUUUUAACUUAAUGUAUACAUAUAAUUUUAUAUGCAACUACCUAGUACAUGCCACUUAACCAAAGGAAGAAAUACAUCACCAAAAUCUUUUUGUUGGAGUCGGGUUUGUUUUGGAUGCUAGAUCGGAUCCGAAACUCUAAUAACCUGCGCACGGAAACAACCGUACGCUGAGUAUUUCAUACUCAGUGGUAUUACUAUAAAUCAAGACUAUUUAACAUUAAUAAAUUACAAACAUCAACCAUAAAUUUUAUAAUUAUUUAAACUAAUUUAUAUAUAAUUAUUUUACUUCAUAAAUCUUAAAUUCAUAAUUCAUUUUUCUCAUACCAACUCAAUUCAUAUUUUAGUUCAUACAUUCUUUCUCAUACUUUUCAAUAGUGCCAAAACAAAUAAUCUUAUUUUCAAAUUUUCAUUUCAAUUAUUUACCCUAUAAACAAGGCUCGGACUCUAACAGAUACGCGGAUUCCACCCAAACACACCAGAAUGUCCAACCCAAACACACCCAGAAUAUUAUUAAUCCCUCUAUAACACACCAGUAAGGCAUUAAGUGCCUCUUCGGAGAAACCGAAGUAUAUAAUAACAGAAACAUUUUCUCGACCGAACUACAAUCUCCUCAUCACAUCACAAAUCCAAUGGCAUGCCAUUUGUAUCAAAUCUAGUCCAACAAGUUAAUAGGGUAUUAUUUUACUUUUUCUAAUUUCAAUUUCAUUUACACAAAUUUUCAAUACUCAAUCAAUUCAAAUAUCUAUUAUCUUAAUUCAUAUACAAAUUAAUUUUCACACAUACUUAUAAUUAAAUUUAAAUAUAAUACUUACUUUAUCUUAAUUAUUCCAUAACUAUAAAUUCAAUAUACAUUUAAUAAAUAGUUUGAAUUAUAGUAAUACAAACUCGAAACACGAGUUUACUCCUCAACGAUCUUUUCUUUUCCUUUGGAUGCCGAUGCCUCGUUUUCCUUGUUAACAAACAAGUUUGAAGCUUCAAAAUCCCAAUUUUCCCCUUUUCUUUUCUUUCCCUUUUCUUCCCCAGUUUUUCGAAUGCUCUCUGUUUCUUAUUCUUUUUGUUUCUUUUUAUUUCAUUCUUUUAUUCUUUUAUUUACUUUAUUUUUUUAAUUAACAUAUAUUAUAAUAUAUUUAUUUUAAAUAUCUAUUAAGCAUUUAAUUAUAUACAAACAAGUGUACACCAUCAAUACCAUACAUUUGUCACCAUUUAUUUAUUAUUAUUAUUAUUUUUUUCACACAAUUAUUUAAUAAUUUAAUUAUUUAAUUAACAAAUAUCUUUUACUUUAAUAUUAAGUAACUUAAUUAUUUUAUUACAAGUGUACAUGUAUCUAUUUAUUACAAAUGUACCAAUAUUUUUAUUACAAUUGUCAUUAUUCAAUUUGUUUGUCAAACAAAAAUUUCAUAAAUUAAUAAAUUAAUUAUUUAAUUAAAAAAUAUCUUUUUACUUAAAUUAUAAGUAAUUUAGUAUUUAAAUUACAAAUGUACCAAUAUAAUUUUUACACAUGUAUAUUUUAUUACCAUAUAUUUAUCAACUAUUUAAUUUAUUUAAAAUAUAAUAUUCAUUAAAUAAUCAUAAUAAUUAUAAAACCAUAAUAAUAAUUUUAAUAUAUAUAAUACAUACAUUCAAGAAAAAUCUUGAUUUUUCUUCCAUUUGCCGCCUCAAUUUAUGUAAAUGGCUUAAUUGUCAUUUUGAUCCUUUUUAUUUUCUAUUACUUUAGAAUUAAAAUUUGACCCCUUUUUCAAUUUAGUUCUUUUUGCUAAUUAUUCUAAAUUAAGAUAAUUUCACCUAAUUAAAUCCUAAUUAGACACACCACUAGGCUCAUAAAUAUUUUUAAUAAUUAUUUUCGAACUUAUUUCACUAAGACGGAGGCUUUAUAACUCACUUUUCCGGUACCCAUGAAUUUUGGGUCAUUACACCCCGCACUAUUUAUCCCACCAGAAUAAAGCUGUCUUACCAUUCCCAAUCUUCCAAUAGAAAGAAUCUUCCCCAACACAUCUACAAACAGCGACAUCCAUAGAAUUUUCAACAAUUACAUGUUUUUUGGACAGAUUGUCUUGAAUCGCCAACAUUGGACAUUAGAACCAUAUUUUGCUAAAAUGACCUUUCGCCACAUUUAGCCAAUAAAGCUUUGUUUUUAACACCUAAGUUGACCACUUUUGCACCCCCAUUGACCUUAGGAUUACAAAUAAUAUUCCAUCUAAUUUUCGCCAUUUUUUUCUUCCCAUCAAUACUCCCCCAUAGGAAAUUCCUUCUAAUCUUAUCGAUCUUUUUAAUUACAGUUACCGGGGCGCAAAAUAGAGACAUAAAAUAGAUUGGCAAUGCCGAUAACACAGCAUUAAUUAGAACCACCCUUCCAGCCCACGAUAAAGAAUGACAUUUCCAGCCAGCUAAUUUUCUCCUUAUCCUAUCAAUGAUCAGAUUCCAAUUAGCUAUUCUCUUCGGAUUAGCACCAAGAGGAAUUCCAAGAUAGUCAAAUGACAGCGAGCCUAUUUUGCAUUUACAAAUUGCUGCUAAUCUAGAUAGGAGUUCUUCGUUCACAUUAAAACCCACCAAGCAUGAUUUUUUAAAAUUAAUGCUCAAACCCGUGAAUAACUUAAAGCACCUAAGGAUAUACUUCACAUUGCUCACCUCAAUGUCAUCAGCUUUCAAAAAGAGGAUCGUGUCAUCUGCAAAUUGGAGGUGAGAAAAAUCCAAUCCGGAGAUAAUAUUUUUGAAUCCUUCGAUAAGCCCCAACUCCACUGCACUGUCAAGCGCCAAAUGAAGCACUUCCGCAACUAAAAUGAACAGGAAAGGAGACAAUGGGUCACCCUGACGAAGCCCUCUACGAAAACCAAACUCCUUAGUUGAGAAACCAUUAAUAGUCACCGCAGCUCGAGCCGUGGAAAUACAUUCCAUCAUCUAACCUCUCUAUUUAUCCCCGAAACCCAUUUUGAACAUUACCAGCUCCAUGAAAUCCCACCUAACACAAUCAUACUCUUUAGAAAAAUCUAACUUAAAAAUCAAAAACCCCCCAUCACCGCCUUUCAUCUUAACCGAAUGGAUUAAUUCAUUCGCUAUUAAAACCCCGUCAAAGACCUGUCUUCCUCUAAUGAAAGCGCAUUGAGUAUCACUAACCACCUCCCCAACCAUCUCUCUUAAUCUUCUGGACAGCACCUUUGACACGAUCUUGUACAAUGAGCUCACCAGGCAUAUUGGCCUAAAAUCUGUAAUUUCCACAGGAUUCUCCACCUUCGGAAUUAGAGUAAUAAAAGAAGAAUUUAAACUCUUUUCCAACUUCCCAGUUGAGAAAAACUCCGACAAUAAAUCGCAUAAAUCAUCCUUAACAGUCUCCCAACAUUUUCUGAAAAAGCACAAAUUAAAAUCAUCCGGCCCGGGUGCUUUUGAUUCAUCACAACUCCAAAUUGCUUCUUUAAUUUCUCUCAUAGAAAACGAUUCCUCCAAUUUCCUCAUCUUGACCUCGCUAAAAGUUUUAAAUUUCAAAUCCAGCCCCAUUUUCCACCUUCUCACCGAGCAAUUGAAGUAACUUUUAAAAUAAUUAUACAGCCGCUCUUUAAUUUCCUUUGGCUCUUUCAAGCAACGGUCCCCAAUUCUUAGACUAAAAACCAUUCUCCUUUUCGCUUUGAUUUUCACUGCUCUAUGGAAAAAAACGCUAUUAAUUAGCAUCCCCUUCUUUUAACCAAGUCAUCCUUGAUUUCUGCCUCUAAAUAGAUUCUUUGAAUCUUAUUGCAUCCCACAACUCAGUGUUCAGAUGUUUCAAUUCCUCCAAUUCCUUCACAGUCAACUCUCUUUUUUCACAAAUUUCAUCCAUCUCAUUGUCGAAACCAUCUUUAAAUCAAGUUUUGGAAAAUGGGAAUCGACUUUAAGAAAAACGAAAACGGGAGUAGCCACCAAUCUUUUUAAGUGUGAUUGGAUCACCUUAUAAAAUGUUUUGUUUUAAAACAUUAAUUUUGGUUUACGAAAGUCAAGAAGACGGAUUCGGGAGUCGGUUACGUACGAGGAAGGGUUAGCACCCUCGUAACGCCCAAAAAUUGGUACCUAAUUGAUUAUCAAGUGUCUUUAAUGUCGGAAAUUUUAAAAAUUUUAAGGUGCAAUCCCCUUUAGAAUAUUUUGAUUAGGGUUCACUUGUAUCAAAUGAAUCAAAAUAUUAUAUUCAGUAAGUUAGGACGCAAUAUUUUUAAGACAUUCGAAGCUAAGCUAACCUUUUUGAAAAUCUCUAUCUCGAAACAACAAAACGCCAUAUCCAGUAAGUUAGGACACAACGCUUUGAAAUUCCAAGACAGUUGCUCGUAUUUUGAAAACCUUAAAAAAAACUUAGAAGGGUGCUUGACUAUUCGAACUCAACGAGAAAAGUUGCAACCCAAUAAGUUAGGGCACUACUUUUCUCGAAGCUUCCAAAUACCAAGCAUUGCCUUUUAUUUGAAAACUUUGGAAUCUCCUUUUUGAUUAAUGCAUGAAGAAUCAUGUUAACAUCAUAGAAUAACAUACAAGAUAGCAUAUUAUCAUAAUAGGUAAGUAAAAGUAUGAAUUUAAACAAAUUUUAAACAACAAACAUGACAAAUUUAAAACAUGUAAAACAUAGAUACAAAAAAAUUAUAUGACAUACAUUAAAAAUGCAUAAGUGAACAUAUAAACAUAUACGGUAUAACUCUAUAUACAUUUUAAUAAAUUAAUAGACAAAAGAUGAUGCAUGGCAUACAACUUAACAUAAACAUUCCUAAAAUAAUAUCAACAUACAUGUCAAUUCUAAAAUAUGACCUUUAAUAAUAAUCACAAAACAGUAUUUAAUAUAUAAAUGAUAUGUUCAAUAUAUGUGAAAAAAUUAAUGUAUAUUAAAAUGUAAUAUAAGGUAAGUAAUUAUUGAUAAAAUAUACCUAAAAUAUAAAUUAAAAAAAUGCUUAAAAUAAGUUAUGUAUAAUAAUAUAAUAUGAAUAAAAUAAGGAAGUAUAAAAUAAUAAUAAUAAUAUAAUAAGUAUUUUGCAUAUAAAAGUAUGGUAGCAUAAUUAGUAAAAAAGGAUAUAUACAUAAUAAAAUAUAUAUAAAAGAAUAUAUAAGAAAAAUAAAUAUUAUAAGGAAUGUUAUAUAAUAAGAUAUAGUAUGUAAUAAAAUAUAAAUAAUUAUAAUGAAAUAUAAUAUGGUAUAUAUAUAAUAAUAGUAAUAAUGUAACAAAUAAAUAAAAAAAAUAAAAAAAUACAACAUAUAAUGAAAUUUAUGAAUGUAUAUACAAUGUUAAAAAUAAUACAAAUAAAACAAUAUUUUAUUAAAUAUAACUAACUUUUUUUUAAAAAAAAGGACUAAAAUUGGAUUCAAUUAAGAAAUUUGGGGGUUAAUUCGCGAAAUAAUAAAAAUUCUAGGCCUAAUUGAAAUGCGCAUUAAAAAAGAGGGACUCACUGGGAUAUUUUCCCUAAUCUCAAAACGACAUCGUUUCCCCUAAUACGGUUUUAAAUCACUGUGAGGGCCAAAUUGAAACAGAAUUAAAACAUUAAAGCUAAAUUAAAAAAUAAAUAAAAUGAAAUUAAAAAUAUAAAAAAUGAAAGAGGACCAAUUGGGCAAUUAACUCAUUUUAUAAAAAACACGCGGAUCCUCCCCAAAUAAUCGGGUCAACACGCGGGUCUUCAAGUUUUAAAACGAGGUCGUUUUUUUGCUUAUUGACUUAAACCAAAACAGCACCGUUUCUUUUAGGCUAUAUAAGCCAAAUUUUAAGCUUGAAAAUCAUUUUUACACCGGUUAGAAAAAAAAACUUAAAGAAAUCCUCUGCAGGAGGAUUCGGGGUCGGCUUCAGAACCUCGUCGGGCCCCUAUCCUCAGGCGCCUACGCCCACACGCCACCGCGAGGACCACCACGCACGGUGAUCAAAGGGUUAAAAACCCUCGUCCUUUCAAGCGAAUUAUAGGUAACUCUCUUCCUCUUAGUAUUUCCGUAGUUUAUUUAAAAAAAAUGCUUCGUAUACCAGUCAGAAAAUAAUUAACAAAAUAUGAAAUAUAAAUCACCUUAAGAAACUGUUUGCAAUCCUGAAUGUAUUCGUAUGUCUACUGUUUUUAUUUUCUAAAAAAAAUCCGGUUUUUUACAUCGUAUUUGAUUCAGGCUUUUAUAGCCAUUGUUUACAAUAUAUUUUGGGAAGAAAUCUUUUAUUUCUUCCCAUUUUUGUUUGUUUGCUGCUGUUUCUUUCUCUUUUGCAAAUAUUCGCGAGGAAAAUCCGACGAUGAUCGUGCUGGACGCAGAUCUGCCGGUGGCGUUGAUCACGGCGUGACCUGGAGCCUGGAAUCGUGGCUUUGAUGGAGGGUACUGGAAAGACAUAAAACCGAAGGAGUGUGAUGUUUGGUUUGGCUUCUGGAAUUUUCUGUUUACGGCGCUUAGGGUUCCAAAAAAAAACUAGGUCUCCCCUCAUCUGUUAACACAUUUGGGCCUCUUGGGCCCCGAAUGUAAUGGGUCUGCUAGGCUUAAGCUAAAACUGGGUGUAGGCAAUUAGGUCAAAUGUAAACGGGUAGUGGGUUUAGGUAUUUGAGCUCUGUAUAUGGACUGUUUAAAUAAAUAAACAUUUUUUUUUUGGUUUUAAAGCCCGGGCAGAUUUGGACUAUUACACUCCUUUAUUCUGUUCUCGCUUUCGGUAAAUUUUUUUCCCAAUAUAUUACCAUCCUCCACAUUCCAUUUCUUCAGGAUCCCCUUUAACUUUCUCAAUUUCACUGCCAUUUUCCUAUUGAAACAACGCAAACCUGACCAUUCCUCUUUUCAUUUUUCGUUUUUGCAUAUUCGUAAUUGUUAUAUGUGUCAUCUUGCCUAAUGGAUCUAGUCAAGUCAACCUCUUUGACCAAUGGAAAAUAGGAGAAUUUCCUCUAUAACAUUUUACCAACAUUGUAUGUGGAAGCUCACCAACAUGGUAAAACAUUAAUCCUUUACUAAACAUCUGUCUCAUGCAUGUUUGACAAGUGUAAAAGAGGCAAGCCACAUUGACUUAGACUCUACCAACUUGUUUCAUUACAUCCAAAUACACCUAUGGGUGUCAAAUCCACCAAAAAUAAAUUAUUAUGCCUAAAACCAAAAUUAAAUUUAUAGUAUAAAGAGUAGAGUCAAUCCCACAAGGACUAAUCUAUCUGAAUCUGUAUCUCUUUAUAACCAAAAUGCGUCGCAGGCAGUUUUCAUGCCCAUGACUCAUGCCAACCUAUACAAAAUAGACGGGGAUUAAAUUAGAAUAUAAAAUAAAUCACAAAAAAUUAAAUAAAAAAUAAAAUGGAAUAGAAAUAAGUAAAACAAAAUAAAAAAAUGAAUAAAUAGAUAAAAUGAAAAAUUUAGCCUUAGGCACAAUUUUGACUUUGGCUUUGAACUGAUCCUAGAUAAUGGAUUCUCUCCUUCAAUCGAUAAAUCGAUUAUAGAGAUCGAGGAACAAUCUCAAAGGAAUCUACUUCAAAGAUUAUGAAUUAUAUAAUCGUCUCCCUUACCCAAAUAUAAUUAGAAUAUGCUCUUUUACCUAUAAACUUUGUUAAAACCUUUCAAGAAGCCUUUUUAUGGAUCUUUGAAAUUUUUAGAACCACCACCAACAACUCUCCAUAAUGAUGUAUAUGAAUCACCAUGUACCAUUAAGCCAACGUUUUGUAUCAACAAUUGGUGCGAUGUACACGUAAUAAACUUGAAAAUUACAACUAUUAAGAGUUUCAGUACCAAGCUAAUUCAGUUGGUCAAAGUAACCAAUAACAAGGGAACUAUUAUGAAAAGGACAAACUGGGCUUCUCUCAUUUGUCUGCUUUGAAAUAUAACAAGUAUAGAUGUUGUCACGUUUUGCAUUAGAUUAAUUAUUUUUUAAGCUAAAUUAUUAAAAUAAAAUAAAAAAACCACUCGUAAAAUUAUAUCACUAUUUUAAUCAAAUACAACCAAAACUAUAUUUAUCAUGUCCAACCAAAAUUCACAACUAACAAAUUGUAGGCUUAAAUUCAUUAUGAUAUAUAUGAUUGGAGGCAAUACACCUAUCUACAACAUUCAAUUAAAUACACAUUAAAUUUUACACGUGUCUAUGCACUUAUCCAAGUAAAGUAAACUGCAUUCCUUAUCAAUAUUAAGCAUUAAACUUCAUUUCCAAUCAAAGAUCAAGAAAUGGAGAACGAACUUCACAAUUUCAUCAAGGUAUGGAUUUUAGCUAUAAUUUCCCUUUGUUAUUGUUUCUACAUAUCAUCAAAGCUCCCCAAAGGUAUUUUUAAGCUUAUUUCUUUAACACCAAUCUUCAUCUUCUUCCUUUACCUCCCUCUCACCAUCUCCACCGCCCCUCUCGUCGGCAUCACCGCCUUCUUCCUCUCUUGGUUAGCUAAUUUCAAGCUCCUCCUCUUUUGUUUCGACCAACCACCGCUCUCACCACCGCCGUCCAACCUUUUUCAUUUCAUUUCCUUAGCUUCUCUUCCUAUUAAACCAAAACAAAAAACCCCAUCUCAAAACAAAUCUAAACCACCCCAAAGAUCAAUCUUGUUUGCUAUUAAAGUUUUAAUAUUAGCUUUGCUUUAUCAUUGUUAUAGCUACAAACAAAAUAUCCAUAAAAAUGUAGUUCUAGUAAUGUUCUGUGUCCGCAUCUACAUUGAGCUUGAGCUCAUCCUAGCCGUGGCCGGAACCCUUGCUCGAGCCAUGUUUGGGUUCGAGAUCGAGCCACAGUUCAAUGAACCCUACUUGGCUACCUCUUUACAAGAUUUUUGGGGUCGUAGAUGGAACCUUAUUGUUACUAGUAUUCUACGACCAACCGUAUAUUACCCCAUACGCCGUAUUUCUACUCGUUUGCUUGGAUCAAGGUGGGCUUCGUUGCCCGCGAUCUUCGGCGUGUUCGUCGUCUCCGGCUUGAUGCAUGAAUUGAUUUUUUAUUAUUUGACUCGUGUGGCUCCAACUUGGGAGGUGACAUGGUUUUUCAUCUUACAUGGGGUUGCGGUGGUGGCGGAAGUGGUGGUGAAAAAGGUGGUGCCCGAUAAAAUGAGGUUGCACUCGGUGGUUUCCGGGGCGUUGGCUUUGGGAUUUGUGGCGGUGACUGCCGUUUGGUUGUUUCUCCCGCAGUUAGUGAGGAAUGGUGUAGAUGAGAAGAGCAUUGGAGAGUACUCCAAGUUGAUGAUCUUAUAAAGGGUUUGCUUCCAUUUUGAAUAUCAUUGUAAUUUUAGAAAAAAAUCAUAAAUAAAAAUCAAGCCAUUUAAAUUCCUUCAUUUGGAAUCAUGGUGACGAUUAUAUUGAAGGCAGGACGAGCAUCCUUGAAGUUACAAAGACAAUUCAAGUCGGCAUGUUUUAUCAAAACACAGCAUUGUUUGGUCGGUGGUGGAGGGUAUCUCCCAGUGACCACCUGCCCGCAAAGGUUCAACCUACUCAAUGGAAUGUUACAUAUGGUUGCCCCUUUAGCUCCUUCCACCAUUGCAAUGACCACAAAGAUUGCUACCAAGCAAUACACCAUAAGUUUCUCACUAACUUUACCCAUUUUUCUUGCCUCAAUAAAAACCUAUAUCAAACACAAUGCUAAGUAACACACCUGCACUUAAUUUAUAGCAAGGGUUUUGCGGUACUCAAUAAUCAGUAAAUUCUUUUUGGCCACCCAACUAUGAAAAAUUAUAAAAUGGUCAUCUAAUUAUUAGUAAAUUUCUUUUUUAGUCACUUAAUUAUCUUGGAUUUUGGGCAUUUCUAUUUUUAUGAUAGCUAGCUGGGAACCCAAAAUGACAAAAUUAAAUAGUUUAGUAAUUAUUUUGUAACUUUUUAUAAAUCAAAAUAUAAAACAAAUCAAAAAAAUUAAAUAAAAAAUAAAAUGGAAUAGAAAUAAAUAAAACAAAAUAAAAAAUGAAUAAACCGAUAAAAUGAAAAAUCUAGCCUUAGGCACAAAUAUGACUUCGACUUUGAACUGAUCCCAGCUAAUGGAUUCUCUCCUCCAAUCAAUAAAUUAGUUAUAGAGAUCGAGAAACAAUCUCAAAUCUCCAAAUUCUUCCGUAAUAAUAAAUUAAUUAAGAGACUAGCACGACGACUAACCCUUACCAAGUACAUAACCUUGAAAGCAACUCGUACCCUAACAUUUCAAACUUCCAUUGUACUAGUAUAGAAAAUGGUAAAAAAAAGUAUCGAAAUAGUAGCAUCCAUGUCCAAAAUUAAUUACAAUAAAUCACUAAAAACAUGUCGAUUAAACACAUUAUCAACGUGCAAACAAAACGCAUCAUGACCAAGCAUCCAAAUUCCCUCCAGGGAACCUACUUCAAAGAUUAUGAAUUAUACAAUCGUUUCCCUUACCCAAAUAUAGUUAAUAUCCCCUUAUUACCUAUAAACACUUUGUUAAAACCCUUCAAGAAGACUUUUUAUCGAUCUCCGAAAUUCUCAGAAUCAUCACCCAAUGACUCUCCAUAAUAAUGUAUAUGAAUCAUCAUCUACCAAAAUGAUAUGCACGUAAUCAACUUCAAAAUUACAACUAUUAAGAGUUUUAGUACCAAUCUAGUUUAGUUGUUCAAAGUAACCAACAACAAGGUAACUAUUAUGAAAAGGUCAAAGUGGAGUAAAUAUUUGAAUAUUUAAAUAUACUCUAUCUUUGUAAUCUUCGUACAUUUAAAAUUUAAUUUUUAUAUUUUUACUUUUAGAAAUUUAAUCCCUUAAUUUUCGAAUUUAAAAAUUCAAACCUAGUUAUUAACACUAUUAAAUUCAUUGAUGUGAUAUUUUAAAAUAAAAAAAUAUCCACUUAAUAAUGAUGUAUCUUAAAUUAAUUAUGAUAUGAUUGGAGGCAAUACACCUAUUUACAACCUUCAAUUAAAUACACAUUAAAUUUUGAACGUGUCUAUGCACGUAUCUAAGAAAACGCAACCACAUUCCUUAUCAAUAUUAAACAUUAAACUUCAUUUUCGUCAAAGAUCCAAAGAUCAACCUAUGGAGAUUGAACAUUACAGCUUCAUCAAGGUAUGGAUUUUAGCUAUAAUUUCCCUUUGUUAUUGUUACUACAUAUCAUCAAAGCUCCCCAAAGGCAUUUUCAAGCUUUUUCUUUAACCCCAAUCUUCAUCUUCUUCCUUUACCUCCCUCUCACCGUCUCCACCUUUCAUCUUGUUGGCAUCAGCGCCUUCUUCCUCUCUUGGUUAGCUAAUUUCAAGCUCCUCCUCUUUUGUUUCGACCAACCACCGCUUUCACCACCACCGUCCAACCUUUUUCACUUCAUUUCCUUAGCGUCUCUUCCCAUUAAACCUAAACAAAAAACCCCAUCUCAAAACAAAUCUAAACCACCCCAAAGAUCAAUCUUGUUUGCUAUAAAAGUUCUACUAUUAGCUUUGCUUUACCAUUGUUAUAGCUACAAACAAAAUCUCCAUAAAAAUGUAGUUCUAGCAAUGUACUGUGUCCAUACCUACAUUGAGCUUGAGCUCACCCUAGCCUUGGCCGCAAUCCCGGCUCGAGCUAUGUUUGGGUUCGAGAUCGAGCCACAGUUCAAUGAACCCUACUUAACUACCUCUUUACAAGAUUUUUGGGGUCGUAGCCAACCGUAUAUUACCCCAUACGCCUUAUUUCUACUCGUUUGCUCGGAUCAAGGUGGGCUUCUUUGCCGGCGAUCAUCUCCGUGUUCGUCGUCUCCGGCUUGAUGCAUGAAUUGAUUUAUUAUUACUUGACUCGUGUGGCUCCUACUUGGGAGGUGACAUGGUUUUUCAUCUUACAUGGGGUUGCGGUGGCGGCGGAAGUGGUGGUGAAGAAGGUGGUGCCUGAGAAAGUGAGGUUGAACCCUGUGGUUUCCGGGGCGUUGGCUUUGGGAUUUGUAGCGGUGACUGCCGUUUGGUUGUUUUUCCCGCAGUUGUUGAGGAAUGGCUUAGAUGAGAAGACCAUAGGAGAGUACUGCAAGUUGAUGGAUCUUUUAAAGGGUUUGCUUCCAUUUUGAAUAUAUUUUAAUUUUAAAAAAGUCAUUGUUUUUCUUUUUUAAAUAUCUGAGGCUCAAUUUUAUCCCUUCAUUUGGAUUUAAUUGAGAAUUUAUUUCGUAGUGUAAUAAUAAAACAUUUUCAAUUGAAAUAAAAUUUUGAUUUGAUCAGUAAUACUUUAUCUUGUAUUAAUAAUAGGAGUGUUCGGGUAUUUAUAUAUAUUGUUACAGAUAUUAUUACAACUCAUGAUAGGGUCUCACUAUUUUAUCUUGACUCUGUUACCUUUGAUACUGACGUUCUCUGUCCUUAGUACUGACAUUCUCUGCGAACUCCAAGUUUGCUAGGCAUGUGUUUACGGAGCAUGCGGUCCUUUUUAUUCUUGGGACUGACAUUUUGGACGGGCUCCGUACCUGCUGGACACGUGUUUAGGUGGCCUGUGGAGCACCCGACACUUUUUGUGAGCUCCUUAGGUGUAUGCGAGCUGAGUCCGCGUGCUCGCUUUUCGAGCAAGGUUCACAGACUCGCCUUGCUAUCAACCUUAGAAUAAAUUUAGAGUUGAGAAAAUAACUUCAAUCGAUUUGAAAUCACCAAUAUUGAACAUUGGAUCAAAAUCUUUGAAGAACUCAUAUGAGUUUUUUUCUCAAAUUUGGAAAUAUUUUCUGGAGAAUUAUGAAAGAAUUUUGAGAGAAUAAAAAAUGAGAUCUAAUCUUUGAUAUGUGGACUUCAAAAAUGAAAAUGAAAAAUGAGAGAAAACAUUUAGAAAUCGAGUGAGAACCAUGUGUGAAGUGAGGAGGCUGCAGCAUUCUUGAAUUGAAGAACCCCCACUUGAUUUCAAAAAAUUGGGGAAAUUGCCAUUAGGCCAUUCCCACAAUCCCACAAUCCCACAAUCCCCUUGUUUUACUAAAUAAUCUUUCCCCUCCAAAAUUCUGAAAAUAUGGGUAAUUUGUCAUAAAACCACUCAAGUAUUUCCCUUAUUUUGCAAAAUAGUCCUAUGUAAUUAAUAUUUUAAAUUCUCUCAAUUAAACCUCAAUUUUAAUUUAUUUUUCAAUUCUAAUUUGACCCUAAAUAUUUAUUUUACCCAAAAAUUAUUUAAAACUAUAAAAUUAAUUUUUCUAAAAAUAUUUUUAUUUUCCGGAAUAUUAUUUCCCGAUUUUUAAAUAAAAUUAAGCUAACUAAAAAUUUACUAAUAAACUCGAUUAACUCUUAAUUUUCACUCGAAACCCGGUAAACUUACCUAAAACUACUAGACCUAUUUUUGGGUCACUCGUUCCUCUACUGAUAACAACAUACCCCUCAAAUGGAUUGGUUUUUUGGCCCACUUCUAAUCGGCAACUUCUUUCGACAUCUCGAUGGUGCCUUUACAACCAAAGCUUUGAUACCACUUUCCAUGGGGCUAGAACUUUUGUCUCGCGUUCCAUGCAGCAUUAAGCAAUCCUUUCGUUCCAAACAUGCCUAAGUUAGCUUAACCACCAAACAAUUAAGGAUUCAUAAAGAAUUUCUUCAAGGCACCAAUUUAUAUAGCGAAAGCAACUUAGCCAAAAGAAGAGAAAGUUACAGAAAGCUAUGCACGAGAGGUGUUUGAGUAAAUGCUCUCAAUUGUAUUACUUUCUCUCAAAGAAUACAAGAAACAAUAAAGAAUGGAAAGAAUUACAAGUGAGAGGGAGGCUCUCUAUUUAUAGUUGAGCUCCCCCAAAAUUGAAGGUCAAGAUCUAGUUAUAUUGACGGAUAAGAUUAGUUUAUCCUUAAAAUCUAGGAAUUUACAAUAUUACACAAUCAAUUUACAUAAUCAAAUCCAAUCUAAUCUUAUAAGAUAUGAUUCUCCUCAAUCUUCUAAUAUAAGUUUCCCUAUUUACCAAGGUAGUCUAUGUUGUCAUAUCUUCAUCAUUAGGUCACGCAGGCUUCAAUCUGACAAGCUACUUUAACAACUCUUUGAAUUGGGUCAGUUCUUGUGGGCCAAAUGAUCCCUUUGUCAAUGAUAGACCUCCAUGAGAUGCAUUGUGUGUGAUGGUCACGGGCUUUUUACUCAGCUUGUGACACUAAAGUUUGAUUGAAUCGGAAUCAGUAGAGAAAGAAUCACGUCGGGUCGUCACGACGUCAUGUCGGUUCUCGUCAUGACGAUUUUGGCUCCUUUUUAGUAAUUGCAGUUGCACUAGUAACCGUUGACCCUUGAAAAAUGUACAGGCUACCAUUUUUCUGUCCUCUCAUUACAAUGAGAGCUCCACGAGAGAUUGUUACCACCGUUGAAAUUCUUCUAUUAAAUUCUUUGGUGUGAAAUUUUAAACUUUGUUAAACUAUUCACUUGAUAGUCAUAUAAGAACAAAAGUAUUGUUGAAAACAUUUAUUAUGAUUUUUUUUCCUAAAAAACACUUAUUCAAAAUUUCCACGAUAAAAUAAUUUUUUUUGUUCGAAUAGUAUUCUUGAGAAAAAUUGGCAUCAGCAUUUUGAUUGAAAUAGACUAACUAAUGACAUUAUAAAAGUAGAUGAACCAAAUCAUGUCAAAAGCUAAAGUAUAUUCUCAAGUUUUAGCAUAGUCUAGAAGCUAAAAUUGAAAUUUAACCAUUGUGGUAUAAUGUAAAAAGAAAAAGAAAAAAGAGACGCAAAUCUAAAAGAAUUAGAAAUUUGGGUGCCAGUCUCUAGGACUCAUAUUGUAUUCAAAUUAUAUAGAACCACAUAAUAUUUUAUAAGAGUUAACUAUAUCAACUAUUUAGACUAAUUAAAAAUAUUAUAUUAUAUUAAAAAUUAAAAUACAUAGAUUAAAUUUAAAAAGUAAACAAAACUUGUUAUUUAAUUUUUUUAAAUGAAAAAAAAAAGCAGUCGACCUACCACUUGACAAACCACUUCAAAAUAGAUGGGGAAAGUUCAUGUUUGUUAACUUUACCAAAAGUGACAUACACGUGGAUUGCCACGUUAACAUUUAAUUACUUUUUUAAAAAAUUAAAAAUAUUUCUAAUAUAAUUUUUUUGUAAUUUUAAAAUAUUUUUUUGAAUUUUUAAAAAUUAAAAAAUUAAUUAAUUACCAAUAUGACAUCACGUGGCAAUUUAUAUAUAUGUCAAGUUAACAAAAGUUAACGAACAUUAAUUUUUCCAUUUAUGUUAGAGUGAACGAACAUUAACUUUUCCAUUUAUGUUAGAGUGAUUUGACAAAUAAUAUAAAUUUAAUAAAAAUUUAGUUCUAAAUUCAUUAUGAUGAGUACAUACCCUGGCCUACAACAUUCAAUUAAGUGCACAUUAUUUGUUCGAAAAAUUAAAUACACAUUAAAUUUUGUACCUAUCAAUUAUAUUAUGUAUAAAUUAUAAAAUUAAUUUAUAUUUUAAAAAAAAUUGAAAUUACUACUGUAAUCAAACAAAUUAUCAUAUUUGUAAUGUCAUGUUAAUUUGUUAAUUUGUUAUUUAAAAAUUUAAUAUUUCUAUAAGGUUAUUUUAUUAAAUUUAGGUUCAUUAUAACGUUAUUUUUUUAGUUAAAUUGCUAUCAAGUGAGUUUUUUUAUUUAUUUCAAAUUCAAUAGUAUUAACAAUUGAACUUGAAUUUAGAAACUUAAAAAAUAUAAUGAUUGAAUCCCUCUAAAUAAAAUUUAUGGACUAAAUUGCAAAGUUUGAACAUAUUUUAACGUGAUGGUUCUCGAUCUAAGUAAAGUCUAACUACAUUUCUUAUAAAUAUUAAAUGUUAAACUUCAUCUUUAUCAAAGAUCCAAAGAUCAACGAAUGGAGAACGAACAUUACAAUUUCAUCAAGGUAUGGAUUUUAGCUAUAAUUUCCCUUUGUUAUUGUUACUACAUAUCAUCAAAGCUCCCCAAAGGCAUUUUCAAGCUUUUUCCUUUAACCCCAAUCUUCAUCUUCUUCCUUUACCUCCCUCUCACCAUCUCCUCCGUUCAUCUCGUUGGCAUCACCGCCUUCUUCCUCUCUUGGUUAGCUAAUUUCAAGCUCCUCCUCUUUUGUUUCGACCAACCACCGCUCUCACCACCACCGUCCAACCUUUUUCACUUCAUUUCCUUAGCUUCUCUUCCCAUUAAACUUAAACAAAAAACCCCAUCUCAAAACAAAUCUAAACCACCCCAAAUAUCAAUCUUGUUUGCUAUAAAAGUUAUAAUAUUAGCUUUGCUUUACCAUUGUUAUAGCUACAAACAAAAUCUCCAUAAAAAUGUAGUUCUAGC